CCAAAUCUUGGCUGUCUAUAAAUCUUCGGCACCCAGAUUUUCUCGCUUCCCACGGACGCCAGCAACACUCUGGGACCCGGUGGGAUAUCACGUCCAGCAAAGUCUUGUCAACAGUCAGCGCACAAUAGAAAAGACGCAUGCGCGGUACUGUUACUUGAGCAUGCUUGCGACACAAUUCGUAUGUCGUACAGACCAGCACUUUACUCAACAGCGCCGCUGGUGUAGUGGUAUCAUGCAAGAUUCCCAUUCUUGCGACCCGGGUUCGAUUCCCGGGCGGCGCAUGUUCGUUUUUCUUUUUCUUCCCUGUUUAUCUCUGAAUGCCUUGCAAUCUGAACGCCACUCCUAAAAAGAUGAGGGGCAAACGCAAUAAAUGAAUGUUCAAAGUGACCAACAUGCUGAAAACAAAGCGAAAUUGAAAGACUCCAGGAGACGACAGCCUUUACUCGAACCUUGUUCCCUGUACGAAGUCACCGCCAAACCCACCCGCCGGAAUCAGUCUCUUGCGGGUGCCGAUCCUUUUAGGAGUUGAGAGGCCACCUGACAGCUAUACUGCUGAAGGCGGUUGUCCGUACGACCACAACUCCCGUAGUGCUCCGCGCAAGAGCUGGACUACAGUUCCCGUGGUGCCCCGCGCGCAUCCCAAACUGGGCUGGCCCCUCCGCCGCGAUGAUGGUGGCUGCGGCUGCUGAGCGAAACAAGGAACCCAUCCUGUGCGUGCUCCGCCAGUAUGUGGAUCCUGCCCAGCGCGGCGUUCGCGUGCUCGAAGUGGCCUCGGGCUCCGGACAGCAUGCCGCACACUUUGCACGGGCCUUCCCGAACGCCGAGUGGCAGCCGUCGGACGUGGACCAGCGCUGCCUGGACAGGUGCGGCUGCGCGGUGUCUUCCUCUUGCGGCCGC
rnacentral:lncRNA from 1 species